rnacentral:tRNA from 2 species
CAGAGUGUAGUAAUAACAGCAAAUACGUCUCCUUUACACGGAAAAAAUACCCACGCAAAUUGGGUCACCCUGA